AGUGAACGCUGGCGGUAUGCUUAACACAUGCAAGUCGAACGGCAGCACAGUAAGAGCUUGCUCUUACGGGUGGCGAGUGGCGGACGGGUGAGGAAUACAUUGGAAUCUACUUUUUCGUGGGGGAUAACGUAGGGAAACUUACGCUAAUACCGCAUACGCCCUACGGGUGAAAGCAGGGGAUCUUUGUACCUUGUGCGUUUGAAUGACCCGAUGUCGGAUUAGCUAGUUGGGGGGCUAAAGGCCCACCAAGCCGACGAUCCGUAGCUGGUCUGAGAGGAUGAUCCGCCACCAUGGAAGUGAGACACGGUCCAAAGUCCUACACGACGCAGCAGUGGAGAAUAGUGGACAAUGGGCGCAAGCGUGAUCCAGCCAUACCGCGUGGGUGAAGAAGGCCUUCGGGUUGUAAAGCCCUUUUGUUGGGACAGAAAAGCAGCAGGUUAAUCCCCCGCUGUUCUGACGGUACCGGAAGAACAAGCAACGGCUAACUUCGUG
rnacentral:rRNA from 1 species